ACAUGCAAGUAGAACGCUGAAGGAGGAGCUUGCUUCUCCGGAUGAGUUGCGAACGGGUGAGUAACGCGUAGGUAACCUGCCUGGUAGCGGGGGAUAACUAUUGGAAACGAUAGCUAAUACCGCAUAAUAGCAGUUAUUGCAUGAUAACUGUUUGAAAGGUGCAAUUGCACCACUACCAGAUGGACCUGCGUUGUAUUAGCUAGUUGGUGGGGUAACGGCUCACCAAGGCGACGAUACAUAGCCGACCUGAGAGGGUGAUCGGCCACACUGGGACUGAGACACGGCCCAGACUCCUACGGGAGGCAGCAGUAGGGAAUCUUCGGCAAUGGACGGAAGUCUGACCGAGCAACGCCGCGUGAGUGAAGAAGGUUUUCGGAUCGUAAAGCUCUGUUGUAAGAGAAGAACGAGUGUGAGAGUGGAAAGUUCACACUGUGACGGUAUCUUACCAGAAAGGGACGGCUAACUACGUGCCAGCGGCCGCGGUAAUACGUAGGUCCCGAGCGUUGUCCGGAUUUAUUGGGCGUAAAGCGAGCGCAGGCGGUUAGAUAAGUCUGAAGUUAAAGGCUGUGGCUUAACCAUAGUACGCUUUGGAAACUGUUUAACUUGAGUGCAAGAGGGGAGAGUGGAAUUCCAUGUGUAGCGGUGAAAUGCGUAGAUAUAUGGAGGAACACCGGUGGCGAAAGCGGCU
rnacentral:rRNA from 1 species